CCAAACUCCUACGGGAGGCAGCAGUGGGGAAUAUUGCACAAUGGGGGAAACCCUGAUGCAGCGACGCCGCGUGGAGGAAGAAGGUCUUCGGAUUGUAAACUCCUGUUGUUGAGGAAGAUAAUGACGGUACUCAACAAGGAAGUGACGGCUAACUACGUGC
rnacentral:rRNA from 1 species